UACGAAGGGGGCGAGCGUUGUUCGGAUUUACUGGGCGUAAAGGGCGCGCAGGCGGCUCAUUUUGUCAGGCGUGAAAGCCCCGGGCUUAACCUGGGAACUGCGUUUGAUACGGAUGGGCUAGAGUUCGGGAGAGGAGAGUGGAAUUCCCAGUGUAGAGGUGAAAUUCGUAGAUAUUGGGAAGAACACCGGUGGCGAAGGCGGCGCUCUGGACCGAGACUGACGCUGAGGCGCGAAAGCGUGGGGAGCGAACAGG
rnacentral:rRNA from 1 species